GUAGUAGUAAUAUAUCUGCUACAAAUGACUGUACAAAUGUUAAAAUUUUUUUUGUUAGUUUUUUUGUUUAAAAGUUUUUCAGUUAGAAAGUUUUCUUGUUAAAAAGUAUUUUGUUAGAAAGUUUUCUUCAGGGCCGGCUCGACAUAUGAUUGAACGAAGCGCCCGCCCAGAGCGCCGAUAUUUAAGGAAUAGUUGUAGUAAGACCAUUAUUUUUUACAGUUAAUUUAAACGGUGAGCGGACUGACACUGCCUUAUGAUUUGAGGGGGGCAACAAAAAUUUUCACUUGAGGCGCUAAAAGCUCUAGAGGUGAUACUGGUUUUCUUCAUUGCAUUGGUUUCUUUUAACCUAUAUUUGGGUAAGAUGAUUUAUUAUCUUAACAUGCCUGCCACAAACCAGUAUACGCGCAUACGGGACAGAUGUGGCAAUUCUUAUAUUCUCCUCUAUUGGCUUAAUAAAAUCAAUAAAUAGUGAUAUUGGUCAACUACUGGAGACUGGUCAAGGAAUGGUUCCACCACCCUAUGAUAUACAAAGGUAAAAUUCGGUUAAAGCUCUGACAAAAAUUAGAAAGUUAAAUAUACUUAACAAGAUGUGAGUUGUCUCUCUACACUUAAACGAUGGCGUAGAAGAAAACUAAAUGAAGAGCGAUGACUUUUUCAGCAUUAAAUAGUACUCUCUAUGUCAUAAGUAGUGUUGUACAUCGAACAUCGAUGUUUUUUCUGUUUAUGUAAUAGAAUUGGCGUUUGUUAAGUAAUAUAACGAAAUAUUUUUAUAAACGGAAAUUUUAAUAAUUGUUGAUGAUUUUAUACUUUUGCAUUAAGGAAAAUCCGAGCAAUCCAUUUUUCAACAUGAUUUAAUAAAUGACAGCGUCUCACGUGACGUUUGUCACGUGAAACACUUUUGUCAUUAUCAUUUCAACAUUCAAAAUUUUCUAACAACAAUACUUUCUUGUAUCGUCUUAAAUCGAAAUCGCGUCGGAUCAACAAAUCAAGUUCGCGUCGCGUCGCGUGUGUACGCGUGUGUGGCAGACACGUAUUGCGGAGGUUAAAAAUUUUAAAUCUUAGUUCGUACGAAAAUUAACACUGUAACUCAUUUCAUCCAAAUUUAAGACAAACAGUUAACUUUCUAACAGAAAAACGUUUUAAGAAGAAAUUUUUAUAACCGAAAAAUUUUCUAAACAUUUUUACGAUUUUAACUCGAUGAUUAGGCUACAUCUCGUCGAGAAAUCUUAUACGCGCCCCGUAGCGUGUAUACUGGUUUGUGGUAAGCAUGUUAGGUUUAAGUUGGUAAAUCAUCUUACCAAAUGUAGGUUAAGAAGAAAAUUUUCUAACAAAAAAAAAAAAUAUUUUAACAUUUGUAUAGUCAUUUGUAGAAGAUAUAUGUACUAUUAUCAGUUAAAUAUGGAGAAAUAUUGAUAUAGAAUUUUUUAUUAUAUUAUUAAACAUAUAAAAGGAAC
rnacentral:lncRNA from 1 species